rnacentral:ncRNA from 2 species
UUUAGUAUCGGCGAUGGAGUUCGCCAUUAACUCCGUUAAAAAAUACGGAGUAAACCGUCCCGAUCUUAUCGGAACUGAUGACUCCUACUCUCAC